CGAGGCCGGAGAAGAGUGUAGCCAGGCCAAAGAUGACGUAUGAGCCCCACACGGGAAUGCCCAGUUGCUCCGUCAUGUAGUUAUGACAACGCUGCAAAAACCGUCCCACAUUAUUGACAUCACCAUUUAUGAUUAUGAGUGGAACCAGUACAGUCAAAACACAUAGACACGAUUGGACAGACAACGUUGGGCACUCACA